GAUGAACGCUGGCGGCGUGCCUAAUACAUGCAAGUCGAGCGAACGGACGAGAAGCUUUCUUCUCUGAUGUUAGCGGCGGACGGGUGAGUAACACGUGGAUAACCUACCUAUAAGACUUGUAUAACUUCGGGAAACCGUAUCUAAUACCGGAUAAUAUUUUGAACCGCAUUGUUCAAAAGUGAAAGACGGUCGUGCUGUCACUUAUAGAUUACUCCGCGCUGCAUUAGCUAGUUGGUAGGGUAACGGCUUACCAAGGCAACGAUGCAUAGCCGACCUCAGAGGGUGAUCGCACACACGGGAACUGAGACACGGUCCAGACUCCUACGGGAGGCAGCAGUAGGGAAUCUUACGCAAUGGGCGAAAGCCUGACGGAGCAACGCCGCGUGAGUGAUGAAGGUCUUCGGAUCGUAAAACUCUGUUAUUAGGGAAGAACAUAUGUGCAAGUAACUGUGAACAUAAUGACGGUACCGAAUCAGAAAGCCACGGCUAACUACGUG
rnacentral:rRNA from 1 species